rnacentral:rRNA from 1 species
ACUCCUACGGGAGGCAGCAGUGGGGAAUAUUGCACAAUGGGGGAAACCCUGAUGCAGCCAUGCCGCGUGUGUGAAGAAGGCCUUCGGGUUGUAAAGCACUUUCAGUAGGGAGGAAGGUAGUGUAGUUAACACCUGCAUAUUGAUCGUUACCUACAGAAGAAGCACCGGCUAACUCCGUGCCAGCAGCCGCGGUAAUACGGAGGGUGCGAGCGUUAAUCGGAAUUACUGGGCGUAAAGCGCAUGCAGGCGGCCUGUUAAGUCAGAUGUGAAAGCCCGGGGCUUAACCUCGGAAUUGCAUUUGAAACUGGCAGGCUAGAGUCUUGUAGAGGGGGUGAGAAUUAUCAGGUGUAGCGGUGAAAUGCGUAGAGAUCUG